rnacentral:lncRNA from 1 species
AGUUUUGGCAAGAGAACAGACCUGACUAUGUCAACAUCCAGCUGUACCUCAGUCAGACAGAUGGGCUACAGAAGAUAAUUGGAGAAAAAUAUCCUGCACUGAAUUCAAGACUUUUUAUUGGACGUCCUCGGUGGAAACUUCUGUUUGAUGAAAUAGCAAAAUGUAACAGAGGGAAAACAGUUGGCGUUUUUUGCUGUGGACCAAAUUCAAUUUCUAAGACGCUUCAUAAGCUAAGUAACCAAAACAAUUCAUAUGGGACAAGAUUUGAAUACAAUAAAGAAUCUUUCAGCUGAAAACCUUUGAGAUGAAGCAGGACUCUAAGGAAGGAAUGAGUGCAAUUUUUAAGCCUUUUUGAAAUGCAGCUGAAUCAAACAGCUGUGUCAUGCCAAAGAAUAGCAAGGCUUUCUUAUUUAUGAUUAUUUAAAAUGGAAAUGCAGAGAAUGUGGCAAGAUGACACAUCACAUUUUGUGUUUGAUCUGGAAACCAAAGAGGCCCUGAAGAAUAGUUGAUGUGAUUAUUCACUUUUCACUGCUCAAAUUAAAAGAAAACUAUUAGAUGCACACUGUUGAUUUUUACGGCAGAUUCAAGAACCCCUAGAGAGGAGCUGCACUUGCUCACUGUGAGGCUGAUAGCCUUGGUCCUCUUUAAAUUGUUUUUGGUUGAACAAAUGCAAGAUUGAACAAAAUUAAAAAUUCAUUGAAACGCAGAUUACAUUUUCUACGUGAGUAUAAACAGAGAAACUUUGAUUUAGAAAAGCUCCAGGCAAAUAUAUUAGAUGUUUGAAAAUACAGCACAGGACUCUGUAUUGAUACGGGUACUUUGUGUCAAUAUCUCAUCUUGCUCACUACUGAUGCUAAUACCCCUCUACUGGGUAUCUAUCGCUUUUAUGCACCAUGAACCUUGUGCAGAUGUUGAUACAUCUAUUUUUUAUAUAUUUCUUUCUUCUUUAUUCCUGUGUCGUGGGAAAUCUGCCCUCCCUUGGCAUGUGUUAGACACAGUGAUUCAAUCAGUCCUCAUCCCGAAUGUAUUUAAUCAAUUACUCUUGCUUUGUAAUGAGGAAAAUAUCAUUAUCCUAAAUUAUAAAGGGACAUAUAGACUAGUUGCUUUUUUCCUUUUUCAGCAUUUUGGCCUCUAUUAUUUUUAUUUACAAUUUUUUUCCCCAGUGCAGUUUAGCUUAGUGGUUGGCCUCUUAAGGUGCUUUUAGUUUGCACUUGGAAGACCCAACGGUGUUGUGUCUGUCAGUGGUCACUGACAUAUAAGUUCUCUCGCUUUUUGUCACACAUGGGGUUAUGCUGGAGGCAUUGAAAACGGAGUCACAUCUCUCUAGAGGAAACCUGUAUUUUACUUUUUACACAAGAGGAAAUACUUUAUUGGUCAUUGAAAUUUAUUUAAGUGUAGAAUCAAGAUUAUUAUUGUUGCACUGUCUUGUUAUUCUGGAUAAAGAAUUGCUGAGUUUCAGGUCCCUGUUGGGACUGUGUGAUCCUAUUGGUUUUCACUCCGGGGCCAUUAUAUUCUCAGCUCAGAGGAAAAAUCCACUUCACUACCUUUUAAGAAUUAAGGCAUUUUCUUUUUACAAUGUAGUGAUUUUCUUUUGUGGACAUCUAUCAACUAUCCAAUAUAGCACAUUGCUGGGAUCAGCAGCAUAGCUUGUCUUGCCUUUGUUAAAAUUGUGCAUGAUAUAACAUAACAUGAUAGAUGCACCUGUCAUUUUUUGCUCUGAUUCACCAAUAGCAAUGGAGCAUGUUAAACCAUCUAACAUUAAACGCCCAUAAACAUAUUACUUACAGCUAUUUCUUCCUUGCCCUGGAACUCUUUCUUCUUCUGUGGAAGGAAAGUGAGUCAGAAAAAGAUACGGGAAAUGUGCAAUGUUCCUGCAGAUUUAGCUCUGAAAGCAUAUUUAAUAACCAGUACAUCUUGGCAACCCUUUCUAAAAUAAAACAAUUUUUAUAAAAAACACAUAACAGAAAGAACUUAAAAAGGAACGAGUUAGUACAGGCUCGACAUGCAAUUUACUGACUCUUUACUAAUUAUAAUUUAUUAUGUGAUUAUACUAAUACACCUGAUUUCAGUAAAACUGGUGGAAGAUUUUUCCAGAAGAUUGAUCUUUCCAAGUAGCUUGGCUAUGCUAGAUGAGCCUCUGCUUAUUUUAAAUUCCAACUGAUGUUCAAACAUUCAGUGUUAACAUAGGCAAUUCUUGCUUCAGUAGGUAGGCAUGAAACGCAGACUUCAUCAUACGUGUGUAAGAGAGCUUUUUGUUUCGUUUGGAGGGAUUCUUUCUCCCGGGCUAAUUCUUGUCAGUCAGACAGUAAUUGUAAUGGCAAUAAAUGUUAAAAUUGAAAUGG